rnacentral:rRNA from 1 species
UUNUGAACUGGGUGACUAGAGUGUGUCAGAGGGAGGUAGAAUUCCACGUGUAGCAGUGAAAUGCGUAGAGAUGUGGAGGAAUACCGAUGGCGAAGGCAGCCUCCUGGGAUAACACUGACGUUCAUGCCCGAAAGCGUGGGUAGCAAACAGGAUUAGAUACCCUGGUAGUCCACGCCCUAAACGAUGUCGAUUAGCUGUUGGGCAGCAUGACUGCUUGGUAGCGAAGCUAACGCGUGAAAUCGACCGCCUGGGGAGUACGGUCGCAAGAUUAAAACUCAAAGGAAUUGACGGGGACCCGCACAAGCGGUGGAUGAUGUGGAUUAAUUCGAUGCAACGCGAAGAACCUUACCUGGUCUUGACAUGUACGGAACCCUCCAGAGACGGAGGGGUGCCUUCGGGAGCCGUAACACAGGUGCUGCAUGGCUGUCGUCAGCUCGUGUCGUGAGAUGUUGGGUUAAGUCCCGCAACGAGCGCAACCCUUGUCAUUAGUUGCCAUCAUUAAGUUGGGCACUCUAAUGAGACUGCCGGUGACAAGCCGGAGGAAGGUGGGGAUGACGUCAAGUCCUCAUGGCCCUUAUGACCAGGGCUUCACACGUCAUACAAUGGUCGGUACAGAGGGUAGCCAAGCCGCGAGGUGGAGCCAAUCUCACAAAACCGAUCGUAGUCCGGAUUGCACUCUGCAACUCGAGUGCAUGAAGUCGGAAUCGCUAGUAAUCGCAGGUCAGCAUACUGCGGUGAAUACGUUCCCGGGUCUUGUACACACCGCCCGUCACACCAUGGGAGUGGGGGAUACCAGAAGUAGGUAGGGUAACCGCAAGGAGCC